rnacentral:rRNA from 1 species
GAUGAACGCUGGCGGCGUGCCUAAUACAUGCAAGUCGAGCGAACAGACGAGGAGCUUGCUCCUCUGACGUUAGCGGCGGACGGGUGAGUAACACGUGGAUAACCUACCUAUAAGACUGGUAUAACUUCGGGAAACCGGAGCUAAUACCGGAUAAUAUAUUGAACCGCAUGGUGCAUUGGUGAAAGACGGUUUUGCUGUCACGUAUAGAGGGAUCCCAGCCGCAUUAGCUGGUUGGUAAGGUAACGGCUUAUCACGGCAACGAUGCGUAGCCGACCUGAGAGGGUGAUCGGCCACACUGGAAGUGAGACACGGUCCAGAGUCCUACGGGAGGCAGCAGAAGGGAAUGUUACGCAAUGGGCGAAAGCCUGACGGAGCAACGCCGCGUGAGUGAUGAAGGUCUUCGGAUCGUAAAACUCUGUUAUUAGGGAAGAACAAAUGUGUACGUAAAUAUGCCCGUCUUGACGGUACCUGAUAAGAAAGCCACGGCUAACUACGUG